CCAAUCCUUGUUCUCCAUCAUGAGCGAACAACCUAAGGUAUUCAUGUGGAAUCAACAGAAUAUCACAGAUCAAGAUCGUUUUAACGAGCUAUUGUCGAACUCCAUGAACGAUGCUGCUAAUGAGGCCGCNNNNNNNNNNUAAAAAGUUUGCUGUAAAAGAAUCCAAUUUUACUGCGUUUCAGAAACUGUACAACCUCGCG
rnacentral:misc_RNA from 1 species